rnacentral:rRNA from 1 species
ACGUAGGGCGCGAGCGUUGUCCGGAUUUAUUGGGCGUAAAGAGCUCGUAGGCGGCUCGUUGCGUCGGCUGUGAAAACCCGCAGCUCAACUGUGGGCUUGCAGCUGAUACGGGCGGGCUGGGAUUCGGUAGGGGAGACUGGAAUUCCUGGUGUAGCGGUGAAAUGCGCAGAUAUCAGGAGGAACACCGGUGGCGAAGGCGGUCACCUGGCCCGUAACUGACGCUGAGGCACGAAAGCGUGGGGAUCAAACAGGA